rnacentral:rRNA from 1 species
CUUCCGCAAUGGACGCAAGUCUGACGGAGCAACGCCGCGUGUGUGAAGAAGGUUUUCGGAUCGUAAAGCACUGUUAUUAGAGAAGAACAGCCGAUAGAGUAACUGUUAUCGGUUUGACGGUAUCUAACCAGAAAGUGACGGCUAACUACGUGCCAGCAGCCGCGGUAAUACGUAGGUCACAAGCGUUGUCCGGAUUUAUUGGGCGUAAAGGGAGCGCAGGCGGUUUGUUAAGUCUGAUGUGAAAGCCCACGGCUCAACCGUGGAACGGCAUUGGAAACUGGCAAACUUGAGUAUAGAAGAGGAAAGUGGAAUUCCAUGUGUAGCGGUGAAAUGCGUAGAUAUAUGGAGGAACACCAGUGGCGAAGGCGACUUUCUGGUCUAUAACUGACGCUGAGGCUCGAAAGCGUGGGGAGCGAACAGGAUUAGAUACCCUGGUAGUCCACGCCGUAAACGAUGAGUGUUAAGUGUUGGGGGGCUUCCACCCCUCAGUGCUGGCGUUAACGCAAUAAACACUCCGCCUGGGGAGUACGACCGCAAGGUUGAAACUCAAAGGAAUUGAC